GGAGCCUGCGGCUUAAUUUGACUCAACACGGGGAAACUCACCAGGUCCAGACAUAGGAAGGAUUGACAGAUUGAGAGCUCUUUCUUGUUCUGACGGUAGACCACGUGCUCGGCAUGAUUGCUGACGCGGAAAAGAAGUGCACGCUCUGUGGCACUCAGCUUC
rnacentral:ncRNA from 1 species